rnacentral:rRNA from 1 species
AUUGAACGCUGGCGGCAGGCCUAACACAUGCAAGUCGAACGAGUGGCGGACGGGUGAGUAAUGUCUGGGAAACUGCCUGAUGGAGGGGGAUAACUACUGGAAACGGUAGCUAAUACCGCAUACCCUCGGAUGUGCCCAGAUGGGAUUAGCUAGUAGGGGGGGUAAAGGCUCACCUAGGCGACGAUCUCUAGCUGGUCUGAGAGGAGGACCAGCAACACGGGAACUGAGACACGGUCCAGACUCCUACGGGAGGCAGCAGUGGGGAAUAUUGCACAAUGGGCGCAAGCCUGAUGCAGCCAUGCCGCGUGUAUGAAGAAGGCCUUCGGGUUGUAAAGUACUUUCAGUGGGGAGGCGUUACCCGCAGAAGAAGCACCGGCUAACUCCGUGCCAGCCGCCGCGGUAAUUC